AAAUAUCCUUACACAAUCAAUAGAAAAUCUUCUAGAUCACUCAAUUUAUUAAAUGUAAUACUUAUUAUUACAUACUUAUAAGAGGGUUUUGCAUUGUUUAACUAGAAUCAUGAAUGCUAAAUUCCAAGUAAUAUUAUGGGAUACUAGUAAUAUAAUAGAGAAACUAAAAAUUUGAAUCCUAAUAACAUGGUUUGAAGUCUAUAGAUGUUUUAAACCUUUUCAACCCCACCACAGCUCAAGUGUUCUUAAGCCUGAAAUUAUUGUUUCACAUUUUCAAUCAUCUGGAUUAAAGGGCAAAACAGAGAGAGAAAUUGGAGGGGCCGUAUUCUGGUGGUGAUAAUGUAGAGAGAGAAAGAGAGAGAGAGA
rnacentral:misc_RNA from 1 species